rnacentral:rRNA from 1 species
AAACCAAGAAGAUUAAGCCAUAUAUUUUCGGUAAAAAGAUAGUUAAGUAGUAUUAGAAAGUUAGUUCAAUUUUUAUUAAGAAGUAAAAUUCGUAAAUAAAAUAGAAGUUUAAUGGUAGCUAAAAAACUGAAGCUAUGACAACUUUGAGGGAAACUGGGAUUAGAUACCCCACUAUUCUUAGAAGUAAAAAGAUAAAAAUCUACCAGAGUACUAUGGAUCAAUUAUAUUUAAAACUCAAAGAGCUUGGCGGUGCUUUAGACUUUUCAGGGGAGCUUGUCUCAUAAUCGACAAUCCACGAAAUACCUGACCUCUAUUUGUUUUCAGUUUGUAUACCGUCGUCGUCAGGUAACUUUUUAGAAUAAAGAAGUUAGCAAAAGAAUCGAUGAUAAAUUCUAACGUCAGAUCAAGGUGCAGCUAAUAUAGCGGAGAGGAUGAGCUACAAUUAUUAGAAUUAUAAAGACGAAUCAAUAAUUUGAAAAUAGUUGUGAAGGAGGACUUGAAAGUAAAAUAAAUUAUAUAGACGUUUUGAAUUAAGCUCUGAAGCGUGC